GUGCUCACUUUGACAGCACAUAUACUAUAAUUGGAAGGAUACAGAGAUUAGCAUGACUGCUCUGCAAGGAAAAUAUGCAAAUUCACGAAGAGUUCCAUAUUAUU